UACGUAGGGUGCGAGCGUUAAUCGGAAUUACUGGGCGUAAAGCGUGCGCAGGCGGUGAUGUAAGACAGAUGUGAAAUCCCCGGGCUCAACCUGGGAACUGCAUUUGUGACUGCAUCGCUGGAGUGCGGCAGAGGGGGAUGGAAUUCCGCGUGUAGCAGUGAAAUGCGUAGAUAUGCGGAGGAACACCGAUGGCGAAGGCAAUCCCCUGGGCCUGCACUGACGCUCCUGCACGAAAGCGUGGGGAGCAAACAGG
rnacentral:rRNA from 1 species